rnacentral:rRNA from 1 species
CCGACUCGGGAGUACGACGCAACGGUUGAAACUCAAAGGAAUUGAACGGGGCCCGCGACAAGACGGUGGAGCAUGUGGUUUAAUUCGUAAACAACGCGAAGAACCUUACCAGGUCUUGACAUCCCGAUGCUAUUCUAGAGAUAGAAAGUUACUUCGGUACAUCGGUGACAGGUGGUGCAUGGUUGUCGUCAGCUCGUGUCGUGAGAUGUUGGGUUAAGUCCCGCAACGAGCGCAACCCCUAUUGUUAGUUGCCAUCAUUCAGUUGGGCACUCUAGCGAGACUGCCGGUAAUAAACCGGAGGAAGGUGGGGAUGACGUCAAAUCAUCAUGCCCCUUAUGACCUGGGCUACACACGUGCUACAAUGGUUGGUACAACGAGUUGCGAGUCGGUGACGGCAAGCUAAUCUCUUAAAGCCAAUCUCAGUUCGGAUUGUAGGCUGCAACUCGCCUACAUGAAGUCGGAAUCGCUAGUAAUCGCGGAUCAGCACGCCGCGGUGAAUACGUUCCCGGGCCUUGUACACACCGCCGUCGACGCGGCCG